GGGUUGUUAGCUCAGUCGGUAGAGCAGCUGACUCUUAAUCAGCGGGUCACAGGUUCGAGUCCUGUACAACCCA
rnacentral:tRNA from 1 species